CGGAGAAUGCCGUCGACGCCAUCCACGGUGGCAUAAUUUCUGAUACCAGCUCCUCUACCAACUCAGCUAGUCAGCUACUUAUUCUCUCAAUCACUCCUGUUUCAUGAUGCAGGCAUCCGAUAUUUUCCCUGUCCGUCUUCUAAAUUUUCUCCUCCUUGUUCUUACUCAGCAGUCAGCACAAUUUUCUUACUGCUCAAUAAUUCCCGUUUCAUGAGUUGUGUUGUUCUAUCUUAUUUUGCUCGGUGAUUCUUACUGAGCACAAUUUUCUUAUACUCGUUUUUUCUCUCAGUCGCUCCCAUUGUUUAUAAUUUAAUUGCUUUGAGCGAUGGAGAGAUAUGUUAUCUUGUCAUGAAGAGUUGUAUUGUCUGAUAAUUAAAAUCUUUUUGUUUUUUAAAUCUAAGGAGCAGCAAGAUGGUACGAGCAGUAUUGAUGAUGAACAAGCCACGGAAAUUCUGACUGAUUAAGUCCUGUGAAUUUUCGCUUUCUUUCUGAACACUCCAGCAUUGAAUUCCGCAAAGGAUCAUAAUAUAUUGUUCUUGAUUAAAGGAUAGUAUGCUAAUGAUGUGCUUGGUCAGAUCGUAGAGAAGUAGCGGGAUGUACCCAAUUUCUCGGCAGGCAGUUCUCCGCCGUGCACCUGAAAAGCAACUUCGUGGAUGUUGAGUCUAUCUUCAGUUCGGUAUUAUUUUCAUUCAGCUUUCGACUUAUCAAUAUUUUGCUUUGGAUUUUAUUCCUUACUUUUUGUAUGCUCCGGUAAUCAUAGUUGAGUAAAAAUUCUGACGAGAUUUACGAUCUUAUUGUUAAGAUAAAGAAGAGGGGAAAACAUGAUAGAAGGUGCACAUUUGGGUUUUCAAAACCAUGUCUUCUACCUAUUGUGUAAGAAUGGGGUACCAUAAACUUGCGUCUAUUCUGCUAAAACUCUCGGAAGUUGAACACCUCAGUGUUAGGUCCAUAUAAUAUUCAGCAGCUUCUGUUGAACACAUUUUGCACAUUAUUUUUUUAAUUUGAUUAUCAACUCGCGCCAUAUUGAUGAUCUUGUUUGCCAUAGUGCUUUUAUGCUUCUGUCAACCUCUUUGGAGCAAUACUUAACUAUUGAGUGCCAGCUUUUGUUUUAUCCUCAAAACAGUAUAUUCACCU